CUACUUGAGUAGCAAUACAAAGGUAGUUUAGUGGCGGACGGGUGAGUAAUGCAUGGGUAACGUACCUUUAGCCCAGGGAUAGCGUCGGGCCCGCAAGGGUCCUUUGCGAAAGUGACGGUAAUACCUGGUAACAUUCCGGAAUCGCAUGGUUUUGGAAUCAAAGAUGGGGAUCUUCGGACCUAUCGGCUUUGGAGCGGCCCAUGUCCUAUCAGCUAGUUGGUGAGGUAACGGCCCACCAAGGCUUUGACGGGUAGCCGGCGUGAGAGCGCGACCGGCCACAUCGGAACUGAGACACUGUCCGGACACCUACGGGCGGCUGCAGCAACGAAUAUUCCGCAAUGGGCGCAAGCCUGACGGAGCGACGCCGCGUGAAGGAUGAAGUCCUUCGGGAUGUAAACUUCAAUAGUUUGUCAGGAAGUAAUCCGACCUAAUACGUCGGAAAGUUGACCAACAAAUGAAAGAGACGGCUAACUCCGUGCCAGCAGCCGCGGUAAGACGGAGGUCUCUAGCGUUGUUCGGAAUUACUGGGCUUAAAGCGCGUGUAGGCGGGGUGGCAAGUACCGUGUGAAAUCCCUGGGCUCAACCCGGGAACGGCUCGGUAUACUGUCACUCUUGAGGCAGGUAGGGGUCACUGGAACCUUAGGUGGAGCGGUGAAAUGCGUAGAUAUCUAAGGGAACGCCUGUGGCGAAAGCGGGUGACUGGGCCUGUCCUGACGCUGAGACGCGAAAGCGUAGGGAGCAAACGGGAUUAGAUACCCCGGUAGUCUACGCCGUAAACGAUGCGCACUAGGUUCGAGGAUCUCUGACGAUACUCGAGCCG
rnacentral:rRNA from 1 species